rnacentral:tRNA from 2 species
CGGGGCGUGGCGCAGUCUGGUAGCGCACUCGGCUGGGGGCCGAGUGGUCGGAGGUUCAAAUCCUCUCGCCCCGACCU